AUGCUUCCUCCGUUUGGUGCUGCUCGGCCAUGGAGCUUCUUAGCCUAUCAGGAAGGAGGAAGGACUAAGAUUUACCCUACGGAAGGAAGGAAGGAAGGAAGGAGGAAGAGGCCACCGGCAAUGGAGAAAUCCCCCAUAAUCGGCAGCUCCUCCAAGUCCCAAGGGAUGGAUGAGGUCCAUCAUUAUCUAAUUGACAAAAGAGCCCCUUGGAGGGGUACUAAGAUCACCCUUACCUCAAUGACGAUCAGGGGCUUGCUGAUCACAAGGAUCAACUUGGAGCUCCUCUCUGACCUUGCAGGAAUUACGAUGGCAAGAACGCCGAGGCGGCCCAAGAGUUCAGGAACUGCCGUGUGUUCCCAUGCGAGAGAGCAUCUGUGUUUAUCAAAGCGAAGGAAGCCUGCUGCUGAUAUCGCUGGAGGAAUACUGGAGAUGGUGGGCCUGCAGCUGACAUUGCUGGAAGUUUGA
rnacentral:rRNA from 1 species